rnacentral:rRNA from 1 species
AACGAACGCUGGCGGCAUGCCUAACACAUGCAAGUCGAACGAGACCUUCGGGUCUAGUGGCGCACGGGUGCGUAACGCGUGGGAACCUGCCCUUAGGUUCGGAAUAACUCCCCGAAAGGGGUGCUAAUACCGGAUAAUGUCUUCGGACCAAAGAUUUAUCGCCUUUGGAUGGGCCCGCGUUGGAUUAGCUAGUUGGUAGGGUAAAAGCCUACCAAGGCGACGAUCCAUAGCUGGUCUGAGAGGAUGAUCAGCCACACUGGGACUGAGACACGGCCCAGACUCCUACGGAAGGCAGCAGUGGGGAAUAUUGGACAAUGGGCGAAAGCCUGAUCCAGCAAUGCCGCGUGAGUGAUGAAGGCCUUAGGGUUGUCAAGCUCUUUUACCCGGGAUGAUAAUGGCAGUACCGGGAGAAUAAGCGCCGGCUAACUCCGUG